rnacentral:miRNA from 19 species
ACCGAUCUCUCUUGGUGUUCAGA